UACGUAGGGUGCGAGCGUUGUCCGGAAUUAUUGGGCGUAAAGAGCUUGUAGGCGGUUUGUCGCGUCUGCCGUGAAAAUCCGGGGCUCAACCCCGGACUUGCGGUGGGUACGGGCAGACUAGAGUGUGGUAGGGGAGACUGGAAUUCCUGGUGUAGCGGUGAAAUGCGCAGAUAUCAGGAGGAACACCGGUGGCGAAGGCGGCUACCUGGACAGAAACUGACGCUGAGGCGCGAAAGCUAGGGGAGCAAACAGG
rnacentral:rRNA from 1 species